rnacentral:sRNA from 1 species
CAUUAAUGAAGGUCGAAUCCUCGAGUUCUUUUAUGCCCCGGGGGGGGCCUGCCCCCGGGGUUGAAAAAUUAAAAUAAAAGAGUCUCUUGUCAAAAACUCCCUCGUGCACGUGGCGGGUGUUCUCGGUCGGUCGUCCCGACCCCCUCGAGGGCAUCCACUCUUCUCCCUUGCAUUCGAACGAACGCCUGUAACGUGAGUAUGUUCCACCGAGCUCUACGGAGCGGUAAUGAUGNNNNNUACGCAUCGAUAAAGAACACCGCGAACGUGCGAAAAGUAAUGUGAAUUACAGAAUUCAGUGAAUCAUCGAAUCUUUGAACGCAUCUUGCGCCCCUUGGUAUUCCGAGGAGCAUGCCUGUUUGAGUGUCGUCGAGUCUCUCGUUCCCGAGCCCUUUCUCGUGGCUUGCGGAUCGGAUUUGGGCGUUUGCCGUCGUCGCCCCCGUGUCGACGACGGCUCGUCUCGAAAUGCAUUAGCCGGAUUCCCUCGGCGUCUCCCACUACAGAUGACGGGCGUGAUAAGUGAAAACGGUCGCUCGCGUCAUCCCGGUGUGGGUCCCGCAGUCUUCUUCUUUUUUUCGUGAAGAAGAUGAAGGAGGGAGAACGGCUCACAGUCGUCCUCCUUUGGACAAACCUUUGCUUUACGUGUCGUUGACCUCAAAUCAGGUAGGUA